AUGCUUCUAUUUAUAGACUAGGUAGCUUCCUUGAGAAGCUUUCUUGAGAAAACUUCCUUGAGAAGCUUCUUUGAGAAAACUUCCUUGAGAAGCUAGAGCUUAGCUACACACACCCCUCUCAUAACUAAGCUCACCUCCUUGAGAAGCUUCCUUAAGAAGAUUCCUAAAGAAGCUAGAGCAUAGCUACACAUACCUCUCUAAUAGCUAAGCUCAC
rnacentral:lncRNA from 1 species